GUGAUCAUUUUAGCAGCACAUAUACUAAAAUUGAAAUGACACAGAGAUUAGCAUGGCCCUUGCACAAGGAUGACACUCAAAUUCAUGAAGCAUUCCGUAUUAUU